rnacentral:lncRNA from 1 species
GAGUGACAAAAAUCAUCAAAGUUCAGUGUAACUCCAUAAAGUCCUCAUAUCCUAGAAACUAUUUUAGAUAGAAAAAUCCAGACCUUUUCAGAGAAAUGUACUUUUUAGAUAAAUUAAACUACAUCAAUAGUUUUUUGCAAAAGUCAUACAUGAUUACAGAUUUUGUACUUUGAAUUUUUUGCCCCAUGAAAGCGAAUUAUGGAUGCAAAAAAAUAUUACUUGGAUUGGUUUAAAAAACUACUUAACAAAAUAGAGAUAAGACUCCCCAAUUUUUGGAAGUCUGUCAACAAGUCACAGCUCCUACGAACUUGCAUAGGAACUGGGCAUAGUAACGCCUGACAUUUAUUAGUGGUUGUAUGUCAGUUGCCUUCUUGCGAUUCACAUGUUUUAAACAAAAAUGCAUCAGGCUAUUGCAUUGCUACAGUCUUCGAUGCUGAGCAUAAUCUCUCGACGCAUGGCAAGCACAGAUUAGUAACAUACAGAUGCCAAACUCUGUAUACCGUCAAUGGAAACUCUCUUGAAAUCACGUGAUGAAAGUCAACCAAUGAAAUCUUUGAAAAGUCACAGACUGACUUCGCGGCGCUACUGUCGUGUUUGUGAUGUAAUCCGCUUCCUCUGAUGUCAUAUUCAAUUAUAAAUAUUAAAAAGCGAUAUUUGUGAUAAUUUUCUAUUUUAUUUUUGCAUAACUGUUUGUAAAAAUAAUUAAUCUUAUUCGGAAUUACAUUUAAUGUACAGUAUUAGUAAAGUACCAGUAAACCGACGCGAUGUUGCGUCCAUAUACAAUAAUUGCAGCCUUCGUUUAAUAGAUUAUAUACAAUGAACACUGAUUAAUGAGAUCGGA